UGGAAAAAGGUUCCCGAAGGGAACCUUGGGAAGGAACAAUA
rnacentral:rRNA from 1 species